rnacentral:tRNA from 1 species
GCGGGCGUAGCUCAAUUUGGUUAGAGCACUCCCCUGUCACGGGAGAGGCUGCCGGUUCAAGUCCGGUCGCCCGCG